GGCUCGUUAGCUUAGUGGUUAGAGCAAUCAUUUCAAAUGGUGGUCGGGGGUUCAAGUCCCUCACGAGCUA
rfam:Papilio machaon contig66665, whole genome shotgun sequence.